rnacentral:rRNA from 1 species
AGGAAUAUUGCACAAUGGGCGAAAGCCUGAUGCAGCAACGCCGCGUGCGGGACGAAGGCCUUCGGGUCGUAAACCGCUUUUCUGAGGGACGAGACAGGACGGUACCUCAGGAAUAAGUCUCGGCUAACUACGUGCCAGCAGCCGCGGUAAAACGUAGGAGGCGAGCGUUAUCCGGAUUUACUGGGCGUAAAGCGCGCGCAGGCGGCUUGGUGAGUCGGACGUGAAAGCUCCUGGCUUAACUGGGAGAGGUCGUUCGAUACUGCCCGGCUUGAGGUUGGGAGAGGGGUGCGGAAUUCCCGGUGUAGUGGUGGAAUGCGUAGAUAUCGGGAGGAACACCAGUGGCGAAGGCGGCACCCUGGCCCACACCUGACGCUGAGGUGCGAAAGCGUGGGUAGCAAACAGUAUUAGAUACCCUGGUAGUCCACGCCGUAAACGAUGUCAACUAGGUGUCGGUAGUGUUACACUAGCGGUGCCGUAGCUAACGCGUUAAGUUGACCGCCUGGGGACUACGGCCGCAAGGCUA